rnacentral:tRNA from 1 species
UAUUUAUUAGUUUAAAAAAAAACCUUAUAUUUUCCAAUAUAAAUAAAAAAUUAAUUUAAAUUAAUUAUAAAUAA